CAGAGGUGGCAAGCGUUGUUCGGAAUUACUGGGCGUAAAGGGCGCGUAGGCGGCCUUCUAAGUCAGACGUGAAAUCCCCAGGCUUAACUUGGGAACUGCGUCUGAUACUGGAGGGCUCGAGUGCGGGAGAGGGAUGUGGAAUUCCCAGGUGUAGCGGUGAAAUGCGUAGAUAUCUGGAGGAACACCGGUGGCUAAGGCGGCAUCCUGGACCGACACUGACGCUGAGGCGCGAAAGCUAGGGGAGCAAACGGGAUUAGAUACCCCGGUAGUCCUAGCCCUAAACGAUGAGUGCUUGGUGUGGCGGGUAUCGAUCCCUGCCGUGCCGAAGCUAACGCAUUAAGCACUCCGCCUGGGGAGUACGGUCGCAAGGCUG
rnacentral:rRNA from 1 species